CAUGCAGUAGAACGCUGAAGAGAGGAGCUUGCUCUUCUUGGAUGAGUUGCGAACGGGUGAGUAACGCGUAGGUAACCUGCCUUGUAGCGGGGGAUAACUAUUGGAAACGAUAGCUAAUACCGCAUAACAAUGGAUGACACAUGUCAUUUAUUUGAAAGGGGCAAUUGCUCCACUACAAGAUGGACCUGCGUUGUAUUAGCUAGUAGGUGAGGUAAUGGCUCACCUAGGCGACGAUACAUAGCCGACCUGAGAGGGUGAUCGGCCACACUGGGACUGAGACACGGCCCAGACUCCUACGGGAGGCAGCAGUAGGGAAUCUUCGGCAAUGGGGGCAACCCUGACCGAGCAACGCCGCGUGAGUGAAGAAGGUUUUCGGAUCGUAAAGCUCUGUUGUAAGUCAAGAACGGGUGUGAGAGUGGAAAGUUCACACUGUGACGGUAGCUUACCAGAAAGGGACGGCUAACUACGUGCCAGCAGCCGCGGUAAUACGUAGGUCCCGAGCGUUGUCCGGAUUUAUUGGGCGUAAAGCGAGCGCAGGCGGUUUGAUAAGUCUGAAGUUAAAGGCUGUGGCUCAACCAUAGUUCGCUUUGGAAACUGUCAAACUUGAGUGCAGAAGGGGAGAGUGGAAUUCCAUGUGUAGCGGUGAAAUGCGUAGAUAUAUGGAGGAACACCGGUGGCGAAAGCGGCUCUCUGGUCUGUAACUGACGCUGAGGCUCGAAAGCGUGGGGAGCGAACAGGAUUAGAUACCCUGGUAGUCCACGCCGUAAACGAUGAGUGCUAGGUGUUGGAUCCUUUCCGGGAUUCAGUGCCGCAGCUAACGCAUUAAGCACUCCGCCUGGGGAGUACGACCGCAAGGUUGAAACUCAAAGGAAUUGACGGGGGCCCGCACAAGCGGUGGAGCAUGUGGUUUAAUUCGAAGCAACGCGAAGAACCUUACCAGGUCUUGACAUCCCGAUGCUAUUUCUAGAGAUAGAAAGUUACUUCGGUACAUCGGUGACAGGUGGUGCAUGGUUGUCGUCAGCUCGUGUCGUGAGAUGUUGGGUUAAGUCCCGCAACGAGCGCAACCCCUAUUGUUAGUUGCCAUCAUUCAGUUGGGCACUCUAGCGAGACUGCCGGUAAUAAACCGGAGGAAGGUGGGGAUGACGUCAAAUCAUCAUGCCCCUUAUGACCUGGGCUACACACGUGCUACAAUGGUUGGUACAACGAGUUGCGAGUCGGUGACGGCGAGCUAAUCUCUUAAAGCCAAUCUCAGUUCGGAUUGUAGGCUGCAACUCGCCUACAUGAAGUCGGAAUCGCUAGUAAUCGCGGAUCAGCACGCCGCGGUGAAUACGUUCCCGGGCCUUGUACACACCGCCCGUCACACCACGAGAGUUUGUAACACCCGAAGUCGGUGAGGUAACCUUUGGAGCCAG
rnacentral:rRNA from 1 species